CCCUUAGAUGUCCUGGGCCGCACGCGCGUUACACUGAUGCAUUCAACGAGCUUAUAACCUUGGCCGAGAGGCCUGGGCAAUCUGGUUAACGUGCAUCGUGAUAGGGAUAGAUUAUUGAAAUUAUUAAUCUUGAACGAGGAAUUCCUAGUAAACGCAGAUCAUCAAUCUGCAUUGAUUACGUCCCUGCCCUUUGUACACACCGCCCGUCGCACCUACCGAUUGGAUGGUCCGGUGAAGCCUCGGGAUUGUGGUUCUUGCCGCUUUAUUGUGGCGUGACCGCGAGAACUUGUCUAAACCUUAUCAUCUAGAGGAAGGUGAAGUCGUAACA
rnacentral:rRNA from 1 species